GUUGAGUGUUUGCCUCCAUGAGCAAGGCCUGAAUUCUAUCCCCAACACCGCAAAAUGAAAGCAAAAUAAGGAAACUUGCCUUCAACACAGUUGGUUUGGCAUGUGUUGGAAUGUUGCCAGUUCAUGCCUGUUGUACUCUUGAAGCCAGUUCUGCCGAGCAGGCAUUCAGGUGAAGGUGCUAAGGACCUUUCCUUUCAUCUCACGCCAGUAGUGAGUGAGUGCCUGCAUUCUUAGCAAAGAACCAGAUUUGUUUUAAAACAUUGGGAUACUUAACAUGGUAAAACUACAUAUAAACACAGCAGAGUUAAAGUAAUCUGCUUUCAUGAAAUAGGAAGUAUUGUAUUUUUUGUCUUUGAUGUUUUUUAUUCUUCCAAAGAUGAAUCUUCAUGGUUAUGACUAUACUCUUUGCCACUUCAAAUCAGGGAUUAGUGGAUUAUUCCUGUCUGUUGUUGCAUUGUUUGCUUUGACCAUAUAGGUGUAUACUUUUAAUCCUAGCACUUAUGAGGUAGAACAAGUGGACCUUUAAAGUUCAAGACCAUCCUUGUCUUCAAAGUGAGUUUUAGGCCAGCCAGGGCAACAUAGUAAGACCCUGCCUUAAACAAAUAUAAAAAAAAAAAAAAAAAAACAACAAAAAAUUCAUGGUGGACAUCAUGGACUUGAUCUUGGGUUACCUGAAGAGAGACACACUUUUACCUGUCCCUGCCUAAAAUGUACAUCAUCAUCAAAUAAAGAUUAAGGGAAAUUAUAUAUACAUUUAUUAGACUUUACUUUUAGAAAUGAGAAAACAAAACAAACAACCCUGAAAGACAAAGACCAAAGAACUGUUCCCAGUUUUGAAGGUUAAAAGCAGUGUGUGAGGUGGUGUGCCUCCAUAGUCCCAGCAUUUGGGAGAUGGAGGCAGGAGAAUCAGGAGUUCAAGGCCAGCCUGAGUAAUAGUAAGUUUGAAUCGGCCCAGGCUCGAAAUGAGGCCCCACCUCGAACAGAUAAGCAAAUAAUAAGGCACAGACAAAUAGAUGCUACAGUAUCAAGGAUAGAAUGCAGUAUGGGUCCUGAUGGAUUCUGCCCAUUUUAGGGCCCGGACAUGAUAUCUGACAAAAUUGGAGUGUACGUUCAAGAUAAUACAAAGAAAUGUAUUGAUGCUUAAAUAUCUUACUGUGAUCAGCUUUUUUUUUUUUUUUAAUUUAUUCAUUUUAUAUAUGUGAGUACACUGUCACUGUCUUUGAACACACCAGAAGAGGGCAUCAGAUCCCAUUACAGAUGGUUGUGAGCCACCAUGUGGUUGCUGGGAAUUGAAUUCAGAAUCUCUGCAAGAGCAGUCGAUGCUCUUAAUUGCUGAGUCAUCUCUCCAGCCCUAUGACCAGCAUUAUAUUUAGGUUACCACAAGAAUAUAUUCUUGUUCUGGGAGAUACAUGUUUAAACCCUUUAAGGAUCCAUGUCACUAUCACGUGGUUCAAAAGC
rnacentral:lncRNA from 1 species